rnacentral:rRNA from 1 species
CUUUACUGCAACUUGACGUUGGAACUGGGCUGUAUUUGCGUAGGAUAGGUGGGAGACUUUGAAGCAGGGCCGCCAGGUCUUGCGGAGUCGUCGUUGAAAUACCACCCUGGUGCUGACGAGUUUCUAACCGUGUCCGUAAGCCGGACAUGAGACCGCGUCUGGUGGGCAGUUUGACUGGGGCGGUCGCCUCCUAAAAGGUAACGGAGGCAUUCAAAGGUCCCCUCAGCGUGGUCGGUAAUCACGCGCAGAGUGCAAACGCAUAAGGGGGCUUAACUGCGAGACCGACAGGUCGAGCAGGUACGAAAGUAGGAGUUAGUGAUCCCGCGGUUUAGCGUGGAAUUGCCGUUGCUCAAUGGAUAAAAGGUA